CAGACAUUCAAAACCAGAACCCCCAAAUCUAAGAAAUCCUUCUUUGCUCCCUUUCUCCUUCUUCGUCUUUAAUCCUUACCGCAUCAGUUCCUCUACUUCGCUGCACUUCCUCUUCUCGUCCUUAAUCCUCACCGCCCAUCAUCAAUCCAUCACUGAGUCAUAGCCGUCGAUCAUCCCCAUCCACGAUCAAUCAUUCAUCAUUGUCUAAUUCCAUCAUCAUCAUCAGCAAAUCGCAACCAAUCACACGGCUACAAAUAGCGCUGCUCAUGACAAUCAAUCGUAGCCGUUCAAUUUCAAACUUAGUUGUGGUUUGGACGAACUUCAUUCAGGUUCGAUCGAACCUCAAACUUGCAGGAACUUUUCUAAAAUUCAGUUGUUAGGCGUUUGAUGUUGUUGUUGGUUGUGCGAAGGUGGUGAGGAGGUGUUGGAGUUGCAUUGUUGACUUGUUGUUGCUGUAGCAACUUGGUGCUGUUGGAGUUGUUGGUGUGGGAGUGAGGUGGCAGUCGAGGUUGGUAUAAGGAGGUGGAGUUCAGGUGAGCUGAGGUGGUGUAGUGUAGUUUAAGUAGUGUGGUGUAGGAUAAGAAGGGUUUGAAGCUCCUUGCUUUGUUGUUCUCAAAGUCAAGUUUGACUUUUUUGACAAUGUAAUGCAAUUGAUUUCGGCUA